GAUGAAGAACGUAGCAAAAUGCGAUACUUGGUGUGAAUUGCAGAAUCCCGUGAACCAUCGAGUUUUUGAACGCAAGUUGCGCCCGAAGCCUUUUGGCCGAGGGCACGUCUGCCUGGGCGUCACGCAUCGCGUCGCCCCCCACAAUUCUCCGUAAAGGGAACAUGUGUUUUGGGGGCGGAUAUUGGUCUCCCGUGCUCAUGGCGUGGUUGGCCGAAAUAGGAGUCCUUUCGAUGGACGCACGAACUAGUGGUGGACGUAAAAACCCUCGUCUUUUGUUUCGUGCUGUUGCUCGCAAGGUAAACUCUUUAAAAACCCCAAUGUGUCGUCUCUUGACGACGCUUCGACCGCGACCCCAGGUCAGGCGGGACUACCCGCUGAGUUUAAGCAUAUCAAUAAGCGGAGGA
rnacentral:misc_RNA from 1 species